rnacentral:rRNA from 1 species
GUGCCAGCAGCCGCGGUAAUACGUAGGUGGCAAGCGUUAUCCGGAAUUAUUGGGCGUAACGCGCGCGUAGGCGGUUUUUUAAGUCUGAUGUGAAGCCCACGGCUCAACCGUGGAGGGUCAUUGGAAACUGGGAAACUUGAGUGCAGAAGAGGAAAGUGGAAUUCCAUGUGUAGCGGUGAAAUGCGCAGAGAUAUGGAGGAACGCCAGUGGCGAAGGCGACUUUCUGGUCUGUAACUGACGCUGAUGUGCGAAAGCGUGGGGAU